AGUUACUUUUACGUUUGUCUUAUUUAAAUGUGCUAAAGUAUUUUCACUAGAAACUAGACCAAAAUUAUUUGGUAAGAUUUUGUGUUUUUGCAGUGUGCAGUGAAAACUUUUGAGCUUGGGGAGAUUCAUAAAAAGUUUUCUAAGACGAGUCUGGUAAAUCUGAGACGCCAGAACCAAAAAAAGAUGUGGAGAUGAAAGUAUGGAUUAUGCCAGGUUUACAUGGAACAACCCAGCCAAAGCACGUUCUCAGAAUCAAAUAAAAUCCAUCUGUUACAGCUCUGGGUUUUAAUGCGCCACCUGCAGCGAUCAGCCAACAUCAGAACGCUUUCAGAAGCAGCAUGGACCAUAAAACAUAACUCUCUUUCACCUUUUUCGCUUUGUAGACACUUCAUGGUUUUUGCUGAGGUCCUUAUCCAUCUCUGCCUAAUGGAGGAUUUGAGACACUCCAGUUAACUUUUAGACUCCAUAUUGUGCAAAGCUCUCAGUUGAAGUAAGGGAUUUUUAUAAUGUGAGCUUAUAAAGCAUUUCUAUUUUAUUUUUAUCCUCUGUGCUCUUUUAAAAGAAAUGACCUACCAUUUCAACUCUAAAAAUUUGCUGUCUUGUUUAGCAGUUUUUCUUCUACUAGAG